CGCUGGCGGCGUGCAUAACACAUGCAAGUCGAACGAUGAAGCUUUUUUGAUUUCUUCGGAAUGAUUAAAAGUGGAUUAGUGGCGGACGGGUGAGUAACGCGUGAGUAACCUGCCUUAGAGAAGGGGAUAGCCUUUGGAAACGAAGAAUAAUACCCUAUGAAACCAUAACCUCGCAUGAGGCCUUGGUCAAAGAUUUAUCGCUCUAAGAUGGACUUGCGUCUGAUUAGUUAGUUGGUGGGGUAACGGCCUACCAAGACAGCGAUCAGUAGCCGGCUUGAGAGAGUGUACGGCCACAUUGGGACUGAGACACGGCCCAGACUCCUACGGGAGGCAGCAGUGGGGAAUUUUGCACAAUGGGGGAAACCCUGAUGCAGCGACGCCGCGUGAUUUAGAAGGCCUUCGGGUUGUAAAAAUCUUUUCUAUGGGAAGAAAAUGACAGUACCAUAGGAAUAAGGACCGGCUAAUUACGUGCCAGCAGCCGCGGUAAUACGUAAGGUCCGAGCGUUGUCCGGAAUCAUUGGGCGUAAAGGGUACGUAGGCGGGUAAGCAAGUUAGAAGUGAAAUCCUAUAGCUCAACUAUAGUAAGCUUUUAAAACUGCUCAUCUUGAGGUAUGGAAGGGAAAGUGGAAUUCCUAGUGUAGCGGUGAAAUGCGCAGAUAUUAGGAGGAAUACCGGUGGCGAAGGCGACUUUCUGGCCAUAACCUGACGCUGAGGUACGAAAGCGUGGGUAGCAAACAGGAUUAGAUACCCUGGUAGUCCACGCCGUAAACGAUGAGUGUUAGGUGUCUGGAGUAAAUCUGGGUGCCGCAGCUAACGCAUUAAACACUCCGCCUGGGGAGUACGCGCGCAAGCGUG
rnacentral:rRNA from 1 species